GGAGGGCAGCACCCGGUGCCCCGGUUGGCAGCACCCGCGAACACCGGGGGUCCCUGGGCGCGCAGGAAGUAACCCCGUUAAAAGGUCCCGGUGGAGGCACUCGCGGGCACCGCGCUGCCAAAACGAGUUUGGGUGCUGUAGGAGGGAAAGGUGACCCCGGCCACAGGGGCCGUGCUCUGACAGCGCCUACUAAUUGGGAGCUAAUAACAAUUAAUAGGAAUUCCAGGACAAAAGGCUCUGGUUUGCAAAUGAAGGAGAACACGGCCAAAAAUUACCUCCCAGCUAAUUCUCCCGGUUCCUGAGUGUGGUGAGGCAGCAAAACCCCACGGAGCAUCACUGCCCUCCUGCCCUGCACCGGCUGGGGCUGGCACUGAGGGGGUGGUGAGGGGCUGUGAGUGGAUGUGUGCAGGAGCUGGGGACACCGGAGCCAUGCCCUGUCCCUGCCUUAGGGCUGGGCUGGCAGCCACAGAUGACCGGUGUGACGCUGGGUCGGGGUGGUGCCCAGCACCCCUGGCAACGGGCACCAGCUUGUCCCAAACAGCCAGCAAGCCAUGGGCAUGCACAGACGCCUCAUCUUCCUCCUCCUCCUUUUCCUUCUCCUUCUCCUCUAUGCCCCAGGGCCAUCUCUGAGACCUCCUCAGGGUAUUGCUGGGACCUGGCAACCUGGGGUGACUCUCUUCUCUUUCCAGGGACUUUUGUCAGAGCAACAGACCUGCCUGACCUGCCACGUGUGGUGGCCCUGAAUGAGGAUGUGGCACCGGGCACCCUUGUGGCCAAGGUGAACGUGUCCUGCAGCAACGUGAGCAGCAGCCCCAACGUCACCCUGCAUGGCAUUGACCCUGGCCACCCCUUCAACCCCAUCGCUAUCAGCGCUGACCCUGUAGCCACCACCACAUUUUGGGCAGAGGUGACACUGCGUGCUGGUGCAGAGCUCGAUGCCCGCCAGGUGAACCAGUACACCCUGACCCUGUGGGCUGCCUGUCCCGGUGAGGAGGAGGUGGAAAAGCAGCUCUUUGUCCGGGUGACAGCAGACCAGGCACUGCGCUGUGACACCCCUUUCGCCAGCGUAGAGGGAGAUGUGGUACGGGUGCUGGCGGACGUGGCGCCCUGGACACCUCUGUACGCGGUGCUGCCCCAGCCACUUGGUGGACUGACGUUCAGGCUCCGAAACCAUGACACGCCACUCAUGCUCACCCGCCGGGGCCUGGUGCUGGCGCCUGCAAGCGGCUUUGACCCUAGCAAGGACAUCCAGACGUUCAGGCUGGAGAUUGAGGUGAUGGACCACCAUGGGCACAACUGUAGUGGGGCUGUGAGAGUGGAAGUGCUGCCAUCGCGCCGUCCCCGUGUCACAUUCCUUGAGCUGCAGCAGGCUGUGACAGUGCCGGAGGGCACCGGCCCCUUGGAGCUGGUCACGCAGGUCCGCGCCAGUGGUGACAAUGUCCGCUACGCCAUCCUGGCUCCCACGGCACCUGUGCUCUUCACCAUCGAUGAGACUGUGCCAUCUCCCACAGUGACAGGCGAGAUCCGCAGUACCCACCAGCUGGAGGUGGCCCACACACACCUCAUUGUCCGGGCUUACAACGCCUUGCACCCCACCGACCAUGCCACUGCCACACUGAACAUCACUGUACAGGGGACGGACCAGCGGGCACCCAGCUGCGUCCCAGCCAUCGUCGUGUCCCAGGUGCCUGAGACGAUGUCCCCUGGCAGCACCCUGGUGACACUGAGGUGCACUGGAGCUGAGGGGGACUUGCGUUAUGCCCUUGAGGGACCUCCUGCCUCCCGCUCCCGCUUCCGCAUGGAUGGGUCACAGCUGCAGCCUUGUGGGACACCCCGGCUGUGUGGGACAGCCCAGCUCUGCCUGACAACCCCCGUCCUGACUCGGCAGGUCAACACCACCCUGGACUAUGACUCAGACGCCGCAGACACCAUGGGCUUCCAGUUCACAGCCACCAUUGUGGUGACGGUGGGAGGGCAGCCCCCACAGAGCACCCGCGUGCCCAUGCUCGUGACAGUGACACCCGUCAAUGAAUUCACACCGGUAUGCCCAAAUGGUGCCACCUUCACCGUGAUGGAGACGGCAGCUUUCGGCAGCACCGUGGGGCGCGUGACCGGCACCGAUCGUGACUACCCGCGGGACAGCCUCGAGUACAGCCUGGAGGGGAGCCCCGGCCCCGCACAGCCCUUCUCCAUUGACACACAUGGCGAGAUCCGUGUGGUAGGACCCCUGGACUCCCAGCGGCACAAGAGCUACAGGCUGAUGGUGCGGCUGACGGACACCCACAAUGACCUGGACCCGGCAAACCGGCGGAGCUGCCUGUGUGAUGUGACUGUGCGCCUGCAGGCUGUGCCGGACCAGGUGCCGGUGUGCACCCCUGAGGUGCAGGAGCUGCGGAUCAUGGCUGGGGUGGGUGUCCACCAGCCUGUCACCCGCGUAGUGUGCCAGGCCAGCCCCAAUGGUGCCACACUGGCAUACGCCAUCACUGGAGGCAAUGAGGACGGGCACUUUCGGCUGGAGGGGAACACCCUGUUCUACCUCCCUGGUGACCUGGCUGAGCCCCGCACCUUCGUGCUGCUGGUGGAGGUGUGGGGUGGCCCCAGUGCCCCCCGGCGCAGCACUGUGGUGGCACUGGUGGUGCACGUCACCCCCCAGAGCACCGCAGUGCCACCCAGCACCACCCCCUGGCACACGACACUGCGGAAGGAGCCACUGGUCAUCACACGGACAGAAGCGGCAUGGCACCCGCCGGCCUGGUUUGUGGCCGUGCUGACCAUCUCCGGUGCACUGCUGCUGGCCACCCUGGGCUGCGCAGCCCGGAACCUGCUGUGCAGCAAUCAAGACCCUGGCAAGCUGCUCCUGGGUAAGAGGUGGGUGCUGGAUGGCUGGGAUGGUCAUAUCGGCAGCAAGGGGCAGCCAUGCAUGUUGCCACAGGCUCCUGUAGUGUCCUUGCAGGCAGCUGGGGAGACACAGCACGUGGAGUGUUUAACGUACCCCAUGUUUGGCUGUGGUCUGUGGGUUGCUGCACUGCGGCAUGGUCUCUGCCCCAGGGUGAGGAUGCAGCACUGAUGGGAGCCAUGGGUGCAGAGACAGUGAUUUGGCUGGGGGACACCCAUGUCGGUGGCUAGGCUGGGGCAGGAGCUCUGUGGUGGGCAGGGUGGGAUGGCACAGCGUGAGUGCUGCCGCCUGUCACAGGGCUGGGUCCUGGUGCCAGGGCUGGGCGUUGCUCACAAGGGGGAGCCCUGAUUUGCUGGGGAAGGUGCCCCGGGAGGAGGUGAGCAGGCUGCACACCCCUGGAAAGGAUGAACCAGGGGUGAGAGGUAGCAGAGGGGAGAGCCUGAGGAAGCACUGGAGCUGGCCCAGCCUGUGCCAGGCGUCUGCAUGGUAAGGAGGAGGCACGCAAGCCUGUGGGCAGGAUGACAGCUGCCUGCAGCAGCGUAACCACCUCAGGGCGGUGCACAGCUGGAUCCAUGUUCAUUGGUGAGGCUGGGGACAUGUUGCUUGGUGGCAUCAGGGCUGUAGUGACCAUGAAGGGGAGAAAACUUGGGCUCAGCCCUCGUGGGCAGUGCUGGCAGCAGGGGGGCUCUGGUGCUGCAUUUCCCCCAGCACACUGUCCUCCAAGCACAACAGCGGUGUGCACGGGCACGUGGGGACACACGCAGGUGUGCUGUCGGACUGGCUUCCACUCUUGAGCAUUGCUGAAAGGCAGUCGUGCUUGGGGAGCACAGCCCUGACUGCGAUCCCCUUCAGCACCCAGGGCCACCCAGACUGGGUAAGGGGAUGAUCAGGUAGGUGGAAGUCACUUGGGGUGAUGGGCUUGAUGUGUCACAGCCAGCAGUGCAAAACCCUGCUGGUGACCCGCUCCUGGCAGCAUCACUCGGGGUCAAGGCUGGGAGGCUUUCACUGACAAUGUGUUCCCCCCCGCCACCUCCACAGCUCCUGGGAUGUGGAGGAGCAGAGGGGCAGUGAGGAGGAGCAGGGCCACCCCCAGGCCAGCAGCCCGGGGCAGUUCGAUGGCCGUGCCCAGGACCCGUGCACCAGAAGGGACUAUCUCUUCAACAGCGUGACUGGGUCACGGCGCUGGAUCUGAG